GACGAACGCUGGCGGCGUGCUUAACACAUGCAAGUUGAACGAGAAUUUUUCGAGUGAUUUCUUCGGAAUGAUCAUGAAAAAGGAAAGUAGCGAACGGGUGAGUAACACGUGAGAAACCUGCCUUUCACAAAGGGAUAGCCUCGGGAAACCGGGAUUAAUACCUUAUGAAACCAAACACUCGCAUGAGAGAUUGGUUAAAGAUUUAUCGGUGUUAGAUGGUCUCGCGUCUGAUUAGCUAGUUGGUGGGAUAAAAGCCUACCAAGGCAACGAUCAGUAGCCGGAUUGAGAGGUUGAACGGCCACACUGGAACUGAGACACGGCCCAGACUCCUACGGGAGGCAGCAGUGGGGAAUUUUGCACAAUGGAGGAAACUCUGAUGCAGCGACGCCGCGUGAGUGAUGAAGGUCUUCGGAUUGUAAAACUCUGUCCUUAGUGAAGAUAAUGACAGUAACUAAGAAGCAAGCCCUGGCUAAAUACGUG
rnacentral:rRNA from 1 species